GAAUAUUGCACAAUGGAGGAAACGCUGAUGCAGCGACGCCGCGUGAGUGAUGAAGGCUUUCGAGUCGUAAAACUCUGUCCUAGGGGACGAUAAUGACGGUACCCUGGGAGGACGCCCCGGCUAAUUACGUGCCAGCCACCGCGGUAAUAAGUAGGGGGCGAGCGUUGUCUGGAAUUAUUGGGCGUAAAGGGUUCGCAGGCGGCCUUUUAAGUCAGAUGUGAAAGAUCACGGCUCAACCGUGGUAAGCAUUUGAAACUGGAAGGCUUGAGUUAAGGAGAGGAAAGUGGAAUUCCUAGUGUAGCGGUGAAAUGCGUAGAUAUUAGGAGGAAUACCAGUGGCGAAGGCGACUUUCUGGACUUAUACUGACGCUGAGGAACGAAAGCGUGGGGAGCAAACA
rnacentral:rRNA from 1 species